GGAGGAGGGGGAUGGGAGGAGAGGUGAAGACGUAGGGGUGUAGCGUUGAGCUGAAUUCGUGGUCGUAAAGCGUGCGAGGGGGGUUUUGUAAGACAGUGGGGAAAUCCCCGUGCUCAACCUGGGAAGUGCCUUGGGGACUGCAAAGCUGGAGUGCGGCAGAGGGGGAUGGAAUUACGCGUGUAGCAGUGAAAUGCGUAGAUAUGCGGAGGAACACCGAUGGCGAAGGCAAUCCCCUGGGCCUGCACUGACGCUCAUGCACGAAAGCGUGGGGAGCAAACAGGAUUAGAUACCCGUGUAGUC
rnacentral:rRNA from 1 species